UGUACCUCUCGAAUUCCAGAUCUGGCUGAGAAUUGGCCGAUUCCCUGGCAAUGCCCGGAGACGUCUCUGGAACACACACCAGGCCCCUCAAGUUCUCUGUGAGCACUGCCACGAACGUGUCCCUCAAUACGGAACUUCUUCUUUGGCGCGUAGAGAAGAGGGCUUUCGAUCAAUGACCCGCAGAGGAAUCCUGAAUGAUCACGCAAGAAUCAGCUGAUCUGGAACGAUUGAUUUCACCCGUUUCUUCGUGUCGGCGUCUUCGGGGAGUGUCUCCAAUGCCGCCAUUUUGAUCGAUUCUUCGCGAUUACCAAAGAACCCCCCACGUCAGUCACUACGCGUUCGGCGGUCCUCCACUACUCGCCGAUUGAGCUCAACAAUCUGGGCGUGGUCAAGGACAUCGACGAGAAUGUGGGGCUCAUCACUGGCUAUCCUCCAACGAGCUCCCUCCAUGCAUGGGUCAUCCUCUUCAUUCCUCGGAUAUGGAGUUCUUUGGCUCGUCUAGAGAUAAGUUUGCGUUGCAGGUUCUUUCCAGGUUCUUUUCUCAUUUCCUGAGGUGUGUCUAGCAAUUUGCAUCAGUGCCACAUUCUUCAACACCGCGGUUCUCAUCAAUGGCAGGCUUCAGUGGUGCCAUCUCUAAACGUCUUUCCUCUUUUCAAACCCGGUCUCGUUGUUGCUGCUUCUUUCUACCAGUCCUUUCACCGUGUCCGUGGCUUGCAUCGUUCACCCCAUAGGGGGCCUGGCGCAUUUCCAAGGUUGGGUAUGUUGUGGAAAACUAUUGGAAGAAGGGCGUGGAGCAAGGCGCCGAUCAUCGGAUCACAAUGAGAAAGGUAAAUAGAAGAGAGGAGAGAGUGGUCGCCUUGCAUAAAUGUGAAUCUAGAGAGUUGGAUAGAAUUCAAGCACCUAGGCCAUGGUACUUGGAGGCCGUGGGAGAAUGCAAGGUAGAUCAAUUGAUAGUGGAAGAAUCUGAGGCAAAUUGAUCAAUAUUUCAAGAAGAAUCAAGCAUGAACCAGGGUCUGGGGAUGAAGGAGAGAGUGGGGCCAACCAGGCACAAGGGACAGAGUUCUCUUUGUUUUUUCAAGGAGGUUUGGACUGAAUGAACUAGUCAGGUGAAGUCUAUGUGAAGGUGAUAAAAAUCAAUUUGAUGGUGCUGAGGUUUGCUCAA